rnacentral:tRNA from 1 species
GCGUCUGUGAUGGAAUUGGUAGACAUGCGAGAUUUAGGUUCUCGUGCCGUUUGGCGUGUGGGUUCGAGUCCCUUCAGACGCACCA